rnacentral:rRNA from 1 species
GGAGCCGACCUUGAAAUACCACCCUUUAAUGUUUGAUGUUCUAACGUUGACCCGUAAUCCGGGUUGCGGACAGUGUCUGGUGGGUAGUUUGACUGGGGCGGUCUCCUCCUAAAGAGUAACGGAGGAGCACGAAGGUUGGCUAAUCCUGGUCGGACAUCAGGAGGUUAGUGCAAUGGCAUAAGCCAGCUUGACUGCGAGCGUGACGGCGCGAGCAGGUGCGAAAGCAGGUCAUAGUGAUCCGGUGGUUCUGAAUGGAAGGGCCAUCGCUCAACGGAUAAAAGGUACUCCGGGGAUAACAGGCUGAUACCGCCCAAGAGUUCAUAUCGACGGCGGUGUUUGGCACCUCGAUGUCGGCUCAUCACAUCCUGGGGCUGAAGUAGGUCCCAAGGGUAUGGCUGUUCGCCAUUUAAAGUGGUACGCGAGCUGGGUUUAGAACGUCGUGAGACAGUUCGGUCCCUAUCUGCCGUGGGCGCUGGAGAACUGAGGGGGGCUGCUCCUAGUACGAGAGGACCGGAGUGGACGCAUCACUGGUGUUCGGGUUGUCAUGCCAAUGGCACUGCCCGGUAGCUAAAUGCGGAAGAGAUAAGUGCUGAAAGCAUCUAAGCACGAAACUUGCCCCGAGAUGAGUUCUCCCUGACUCCUUGAGAGUCCUGAAGGAACGUUGAAGACGACGACGUUGAUAGGCCGGGUGUGUAAGCGCAGCGAUGCGUUGAGCUAACCGGUACUAAUGAACCGUGAGGCUUAACCUU